CGCCAAAAUAAAGAGCCUUGAGUACUAGAAGAAAAGCACCUAGAUCUAACAAAAUUAAAUGAAUACCCAAAAUCGUAGUCAUUUUAUUUCUAUCGGUUAG
rnacentral:antisense_RNA from 1 species